GAUGAAGAACGUAGCGAAAUGCGAUAAGUAAUGUGAAUUGCAGAAUCCCGUGAACCAUCGAGUCUUUGAACGCAAGUUGCGCCUCAAGCCAUUAGGUUGAGGGCACGUCUGCCUGGGCGUCACAUAUCGUUGCCUGAUGCCAGUUUCCUCGUGAUGGGUGACUGUGCAGGGCGAAUGAUGGCUUCCCGUGAGCAUUGUUGCCUCAUGGUUGGUUGAAAAUUGAGUCCUUGGUAGGGAGCGCCGUGAUAGAUGGUGGUUGAGUGACGAACGAGACCCAAUCAUGUGAGACCCCUACCGAAUUUGGCCUUCAUGACCCACAUGCGUCUUUGGAACGCUCAUGACGAGACCUCAGGUCAGGCGGGGCUACCCGCUGAGUUUAAGCAUAUCAAUAAGCGGAGGA
rnacentral:misc_RNA from 1 species